rnacentral:lncRNA from 1 species
AUGAUAAUAAGGAACUCUCAUAAUAAAAAUAAAUAAUGACUAAAACUUUUUUUUUAUUUUUUUAUAAUUUAUAUAGAACAAUAAUACAAAACUAUAUAUUUAAUAUAUAAUAUAUUGUAUAUGUUAAUAUGACUAUUGUUGACACACCCCGAUCCUAGAAUCAAGGCGUGCUGGCCGUCACGUGAGCGUGACGUAGCCAAAAGUGCGACACGGAAGCAAGAGAUAAUAGAAAUAUGAAAGAAUUUAAACCAACCACUAGCAGUAAUAACCUACUAGCAUAAAAGAGUGAGUUAUAGAGUAAAACACACGAAUUCAGAGCGUAGGUAUCAAGUGCAGUCAAGUAGGACUAUAAUUAAAAGUACAACACCCGCAGGUGAGUCCUACAUGCAGAACGUCGAAAAAGACCUCGUGAGCCACCAACUGCUAACUAGAACCUGGAGGGGCGCAAAACAAAAUUGAGUGGGUCAGUAAAACCAAAGAUUUUCCAAAACAUUUCAUUUAAAACGUUUCUAACCCCUCACCGUAAAACCUGUAUACUUUCCCAGAAAUUUAUUAUAAAACAUAUAUACAUAUAUCAUCAAACUCAGCUCACAAUCUUUCAACGCUUUUCAGAAAGAAUAUGCCAUGCCAUGCCAUGCCAAAAUAUAAUAUGAAUGCAUCGAUAUAAAUCAGGUGAAAUAAUAAAUCAACCGGAGACCCUACAGUGGUCCUGUACGGCUGAUUCUAUAGCUCAAUAUCCCACUCAGCCGGAGUCACCACAGUGACCUAUACGGCCCAACUCUGCACGUCACUCAGAACUACGUAAGGUAGUCUGUACGAUGAAAGGUGUAAGAAUACGCUCUAGUGCUUCUCUCAUCAAUCAUCGGCACGCAUAACUAAGAUCACCCACUAGUCGGAAUCACAUCUAGCGAUCUAUACGACUAGCAUGUCGGAACCCUCAUAUGGUCUGUACGACAUUCACCUACUUGGAUCCAAGGCGAGCGUGCGGUGUGGUGAAUAAUAUAAGCACUAACACCUAGGGUGCAGGUUAUGAGCUUCCAAUGCAAUUCACAUAAAAAUAAAUCGUAUGAAUAAUGUAAAAACUCACCUGUGCGUCCACCGCGUCAAUUCAUAUAUAUAUAUAUAUAUGCAUCAAUUAUCAAUUCAAAUAUCUCAUCGAUUGCAUGCAUGGCAUUUUAAAACAUAUUUUCAUAUAAAUGCAUUUUCUGGGAAAAACAGUAGUAUAUAGGUAAUACGAAAACAAAACUGCCCACUCACUGGUAAGUCGAUGGGUCGUAACCCCCGUGACGUCCCUGGAUGCGCUCAUCCUCGGGAUAGGUGUCACCUAUAUGCGAAACAACUAUAAAAACGUUAAUUAAAACACAUAACCAACAAUUCGAAAUAACUUCUCAUACGGUGCUCAAUUUGGGUAUAUGAAUAUACCACAUCGACCUACUCGACGUCAUGGACGUCGAGAAAUUUUUAGAAAAAUUUUUGGGCUUGUCACGCGCCCCCACGCGUCGUGGGUGGCAUGGACCUACGCGCCCCCACGCACGUCUUCUUCCUCAGCCAGUCGCCGGACUGGUUUUUCCGGUGGCCGGAUUCCGGCGAAUUUUGUAAUUGCUUGUUCUCCUUCGUUUCUCAACCGUUUUCUUCGAAUUUUAUAUCAAUUUGAAGCCCUUAACAUGUAGAAUCACGAUGGACUAGUUUCAAGGUCUAAAAUUCACUAGAUUUUACCUGGGGAAGCACGAUAAUCCGGAAAUUUUGAGAAACUCCGUUCUCCGUCCUCCGACGUCCAAAUGUUACCAACGAAGUACCCCGAAGCUCUUGAGGAUGUCCUUAAGCUCACUGUGAGCUUGAAAUUCCCUGAAAUGUAAGAUUUCACGUGUGUAUGAACAGUGCACAUUUUCGGGGUUAGGGUUUCACAACGAUUCCGAGGGUUUCACUUCCUAAAACUAGUACCAUUCAACUCAGAACAUCAAAAGGAUGAAGAAUCAUACCUUAUUUGCUUCGAUCCGUGAAGUUUUGAAGGUUUUGGUCUUGUCCGUACUAUUUCGAGAAGGAGAGAGUGAGAGAGAGAGUCGUGAGGGAAGAGAGAGAGAAGGCACAGGGGAAGGGAGAGAGAGCAGGGAGUGUGUGUGUGUGGUCCAACACAAAUCCACACCAUCCAUUUUCAUCCUAGCUCCCUAACCACACAAACAAUCCAACAUACCAAUUUUAUAUCCAACUUAAAUAAUAUUUGCAAUAGUUUAGGAAAAUAUGAAAUAUUCAAAACAUAUCACACACACACCUUAGUAACGUCAAGGGUACUUUCGUCCUUUUACAUCCUUAAUAAGAAAAUCUCGGGAUGGGCUGUGACAAUUGUAUUUUAUAAUAAAUCUUUUAGUAAUUAAACUUUAAAAUUAUUAAAAUAAUUUUUUUCUUAACGGGUCGAAACGGGUUACCCAUGUGUUACCCGCGUGUAUACCUGUUAAGAACCCGUUAUUAACGGGUUCUUAACGGGUCACCCGUUAUUAACGGGUUCUUAACGGGUCACCCGAUAGUGACCCGAUAAGUUAUCGUGUUGACCCGAAACCCGUUAUUUUCGUGUUGUUUUCGUGUUGUGUCACCGUGUCGUGUAAAAAACUGCCAGGUCUACUCUAAACUGACUCAAAAACAUAAAACUAAACUUAAAAACACUUAACAAGACUCACAAGACUCAAAGCCAACUUAAAAUACUCAAAACAUCUUAAAACAACCAAAUAAACUUAAACUAGACACUAGGAAUGACUUUGGACGAAAUUUGACUUUUACUUAAAUCAAAACACUUAAAAACACAAACUAAAACAGAUUUGAAAUACUUUGAAACAAGAAACUAAAAGGGGGGGUUUUGAUUUAGAUGAAGUUGAAACAAACAAACAAGUAUGAAAAACUAGACGGAUUGUAAAACGAAUGUGAGAAAUAAGAUGAUGGAUGGGAUAGGAUAGCUAGAUGUUUUUUCUCAACACAUGACAUGUAUGCAAAUAACUCGAUUUCCAGUUACUACUUCAUUGAAUUAUGAACGACAAUGCUCUAAAUUAACCGUGACAUCACUAGUUAACUCUCAGAUUUUCCUUGUUUUAUUGGAUUG